rnacentral:rRNA from 1 species
UACGUAUGGGGCAAGCGUUAUCCGGAUUUACUGGGUGUAAAGGGAGCGUAGGCGGCAGUACAAGUCGGGAGUGAAAACUCGGGGCUCAACCCCGAGACUGCUCUCGAAACUGUACAGCUAGAGUGCAGGAAGGGCAGGCGGAAUUCCUGGUGUAGCGGUGAAAUGCGUAGAUAUCAGGAGGAACACCGGUGGCGAAGGCGGCCUGCUGGACUGUAACUGACGCUGAGGCUCGAAAGCGUGGGGAGCGAACAGG